rnacentral:misc_RNA from 1 species
CAUAAUAAGUGUUUUAUGGCACUUUUUAAAUCCAUAUCCACCUUGUGUGCAAUGUCGGUCGAUCUUCUUCUUUUGAGGAUCGAGCCAAACAUCAACCUUUAUCUUUUAACUCUUGUCUGAAAAAUAUUAUGAAUAAACAAUUCAAAAUA